UCCCAACGGCUCCCAGUCAGAUCCCAAUGGCGGCAACAUACUGUCAACACACCCCAGUCAACUCCCAGCAGCCCCCAGCUGGCCCCCAGAGCCACGAAAGUCUCUGGAUUCAGUCUUAACCCUUGUGGGAUGGGCCUGGGCCUGGGAUGGCUCCCUAAAAGAAGUGGUGUUUAAGAUGGCCAGAAGGAUGAGUAGGAACUGACAUGUGAAGGGGUUCUGCAGGAUGUCAUAGGCUGAGGAUAAGGAAGGAGCCAUGUCCUGGACAGGUGCCUAAGAGGGCCCUAACUUUGGGAGCCUCUUAGCUCUUAUAGGCGGGGCUGGAGCUUAGCACAGGGAAGAGUAGAAAGAUAUUGCUGGUGAGGAAGCAGAGGUGAAAGCAUUAGGCCAUGCUCUGAAGAAGAGGGUUGAGGGGCGCCACACACAUGUGAUCUAGAAGGCAGCACUGGGGGUGGUGGGGACAGCGUACAAAGGUCUCAGGAAAAUCUUGGGAAAGGAGCCAGUCAGGAGAUGAUGUGGGUGGGAGGGAAGAUGAUGUGGACUAGGGGGUGGAGAAUUGUAGACUUGUGUUUUGUUUUUGUUUUAGCUGUAAACAAGGAUAACAAAAGUCACUGACUGGGUGGUGGGGGCAGGGCUGUGAAGUCUGGGCCAGGGAUGGGGAUGAAGGUGGCUGUGUUUGGUGACUGGUUGGUGUGGUGCCCCUGCCCUUAGUCAAGAUGGGGAAGGAGGGGUGAGCUGAGGGGAUAGUGGGCAGGGAGGUGCCAAGUUCAGAUUGGGAGAGACUCAGUUUGUAAACAGACACCUGGGCCCAUCUAGAUCCGCAGGGAAGGGCUCCGUGUUGGACCUUGGAAUCAGAGAGAGGUGGGUGGGCUCAUCAGCAUAUGGGUGGAGCCAUGGGGCUGGGCUGGGUGAGAUGAGAGAAGGCCCCAGGCCAGGGCCAGGUGGAGGGAGAGAAGCUCCUCAGGAGCUGAAGGGAGCCAGGCUAGAGAAGAUGAAGAAAAUCUGAGCAGGCCUUAAUAGUUGAUAAAAAAGAUUUAGCGAUGAAUUUGCAGUAAACAUUGGCAGCACUCACGGAAACUGAUGUAAUUCUUCUUCAACAUCUACCAGGACGAAGUGGACACAUAAAGCAGAUGUGUGUGUGCGGGGGUGCAUUGUGCAGAAUUUAAAGUCACCUGACUAGAAGCCUGUUUGCUGCUAAUUAUCACCAUGCAAUGGAAAAUCUAAACAAAGUUUUUGAUAAAACCCCUACUACAGCAGCCAGCUGCCACACACGCCCCCAGGUUGCCAUGGCACCAGGUGCUAGAAUUAUUGCAGAAUUGUUUAGGGCAGUGGACCUGGGCCAUCCUGAUGGCCGUCCAUGGGGGGAAAGCAAAAAUGAAAACUGAUCCACACCUACAAUGAAGGAUUUCACAUCCCUAUAGGUGAUGUCUGAUCUUCAGGCCUGACUUUGGCAAGAAUCCAGUCAAGUUGGUUUGGCCAGAAUUCCCCUUUACACUCUGAUAUGACCCCCCUCAGUAAUUUUCCACCCACCGACUCCUGCAACCUUUUCUUGGCUAGGCUAUAAAUUCCCACCUGUCCAUAUUGCAUUGGACAUUGAACCCAGUUUUAUACUUAGAUCACUUUUCUCCUAUUGCAAUAGCUCCUGAAUAAACCCCUGCUUAACACUUGACUGUUCAACUCUGGUUAUCUUUAACACAUCACACUGACAUGUUCUUACACUGAGUAUCUCCUUUUGCUAGAACUCUAGCAUCUCACUGCCCUGCACUCACCCCUUCCUUCUGUGAUGGGAAUAUCACAGGAGCUACAAUCCAUGAUGGUCCCAGGAAGUUGAGCAGCAGAAGCAUGUCUCCUACAGGGGGGAAAAAAAGAGGCAAAUGAUACCAAGACAAGCUCAUAACAGAGAUCUAAUCACCAGAUGUGUACGGAUGAAAAUACAGUGAGAUGAGUCAGAAAACGGUUAAGGAGGGUCCCAGACUCUCCAAGAACCAGAAGUUUUCUGAGCACUUCAGCAUACACUGCUGCCCCCCCUUCACAUUCCUCAACUCCAAACGCGAGAUUGUGGAUCGGAAAUACAGCAUCUGUAAGAGCGGCUGCUUCUACCAGAAGAAGGAAGAAGACUGGAUCUGCUGCGCCUGCCAGAAGACCAGAUUGAAAAGGAGGAUCAAGCCCACUCCAAAAAAGAAGUGACCGAAGACUUUCAAGUGAAUGGACGGCCUCAGCUCCUGGACUCCGCUUCUUGACCCAUGUGACCUUGGACAAAUUAUCUGGCUUCAAAUAUCAUGCAGGGAGAGACACCCAUGAUUGCAGCAACUGCCGAUGCCCACAGUCCCCUUGGCACAGGUGCUGCCGGGCAGCAUGCCUGGAGCAUUGUGAAGAUACCACCCCAUUGUCUUCUGACCUCUGUAAUUGCCAAGGAGAAAUCUGCCUUCUGUCUCUGUGUCCUUCCAUUGACUCGAGUUUCUUCAAUUUGAAGACAUAUAUCUUUCCUCAGGGAUAUUGUACAACCAGCAAAAUUAUUAUUAUGGCAAAAUUAAAAGUUAUCAGGCAAGAAUAUAGGGAAAACUCUCAUAAGCCUCUGAUGAGAAUUUAUAAACUAUAUAACACCUCUGGGGAUACUAGCAAAGCAUAUUGUAUAAUCGAUGACCAAGCAAUUAUAAUUUUAGGCACCCAUCCUAGAGAAACUUUGCAUUCAUAGAAAAAGGAGAUUCACAUAAAUCUGUUCAGCGAAACAUUGUUUCCCAUCAAAAAUAGA